rnacentral:rRNA from 1 species
CAGUAGCCGCGGUAAAACGGAGGGGGCUAGCGUUGUUCGGAAUUACUGGGCGUAAAGCGUACGUAGGCGGCUUUGUAAGUUAGAGGUGAAAGCCUGGUGCUCAACACCAGAACUGCCUUUAAGACUGCAUCGCUUGAACGUCGGAGAGGUGAGUGGAAUUCCGAGUGUAGAGGUGAAAUUCGUAGAUAUUCGGAAGAACACCAGUGGCGAAGGCGACUGACUGGACAAGUAUUGACGCUGAGGUGCGAAAGCGUGGGGAGCAAACAGGAUUAGAUACCCCCGUAGUCCCUGUCUCUUAUAA